AGUUUGAUCAUGGCUCAGGAUGAACGCUGGCGGCGUGCCUAAGACAUGCAAGUCGAGUGGGGUUUAGGCCCACGGCAAACCGGGUGAGUAAUAUUUUAGGGAACGUGCCUCUAGUUGAGCAUAACCUAUCGAAAGGUAGAGUAAUUCUCAAUGUGACCGCAAGGUUAAAGUCGCAAGACGCUAGAGAAGCGGCCUGGACACCAUCAGCUAGUUGGUAAGGUAAUGGCUUACCAAGGCUAUGACGGUUAGGGGUCCCGAGAGGGAUAACCCCCACACUGGAACUGAGACACGGUCCAGACUCCUACGGGAGGCAGCAGUUUGGAAUUUGGACAAUGGGCGAAAGCCUGAUCCAGCGACGCCGCGUGGACGAUGAAGGUCUUCGGAUUGUAAAGUCCUUUUGUUAGGGAAGAAUAUUUGACGGUACCUAACGAAUAAGAGGUUGCUAACUCUGUG
rnacentral:rRNA from 1 species